rnacentral:lncRNA from 1 species
GGUAGCAGCGCGGGAGGCUCCACAGAGGGUCCUACGUUACUGCUAUCGCGCGCUCACUAAGGAUCGUGCUUGAGAGUGACCGAUCGUGCUUGAGAGUGACCCACUGCUGUCCCCAGCCAUUCCAUCGACUACAUUAGGCCAGGCGUCAGUAUCGAGCGUGCGUCAAUACUGGCGCCUCUAGCUGUUCAGGUUGCGACUCGGUAGGCUCAGCUUGAGGCUUUGGGUCUAGCUCAGGCUCAGGAUCAGGAUCAGACUCAGCCUCUGCCUUCGCCUCCGGCUGAUCACGUCAUUGACGACGAGAUCCCACCGCCGCCACGUCCGCACCCGCCGCAGUACCCACAACACGUCUAUGCAGACCUGCCUCCUGCCGCGCAUGCAGUUACUCGGGACUUAGAUCGACGCCUCCAACGUUCUGAGCGAUACCAGAUGUGGAUUAUUGAGACGCUCAUGGAGCUCCGGGCUCACGCGGGAUUGCCGUCCCAUCCACUGCCACCGUCCCCACCGCCAGAGGAUC